rnacentral:tRNA from 1 species
GCCCUCUUAGCUUAGUGGUAAAGCAACGGUAUCGUAAACCGUGGACGUCAGUUCGAUUCUGACAGAGGGCU